rnacentral:rRNA from 1 species
AUGGCCUACUACCCAUGCAAUCCCCUCCCCCACCUCCCGCCCGGUACCACCAUCAUUCCCCCUGGUCCCCUUCAUGCUCGGCGCGGCUACAUGUUUCUUGGUGCUGAGCUUCCUAUGGUUUGUGAUGAGUGGGUUGUUGCCACCCUCAUCCCCGAGGUCUCUGCAGAGGAGUUUAAUGGCGCUAUCGCCCUCAUCACCAACUUCCUCAAAGGCCGGGGCUGGCGCAUCAACUACACUUCAUGCUGCUGUAUGGGUACGGCCCUGAUUCAGUUCACCACUACAUGCUCUAGAGAUAUAGCUGUUGGCAGUAGUCCGUUUCAGAUUGGUGAUUCAGUUUUGAGGAUCAGUAGACAGUAUAGAGGUUAGAACUAUCAUAGCAUCACAUUCCUGCACGAUGUGUGGAUCAUGCUGAUGAACUACCCUUUGGAGUGUUGGGAUGUAGAUGUGAUUAGCCGCACUGUAUCCCCCUAUGGCAGAUUUUUGAUUUGGAACAAAGAUCCUAGGGAUAAAACCAGAGUUGUUAUCAAACUUAGAACUAUGAAUGUUGAUGUUAUUCCGAUCAGUAUUAUUGUCUUAAGGAAUCUUGAUGAUGUUGGAUAUGGGGACUCCUGGACUUUCCCUACUUACAUCCUGUCAGGUGAUCUUAUUGGGCAGUAGGGAGGGGAUGAAGAUCCGCUCCUCCCUGAUGGUGGCAAUCCCCAUCCUCUGCCACAUGUGAAUGGUGGUUUCUGG